UGGCGCCAGUCAGCUGAUAAAUCAAAAUGGCGCCAGUCAGCUGAUAAAUAAAAAUGGAGGUAGUCAAUUCAGCAGUCAGUUCAUGCCUAGUCAUCAUCUGGCGGGAUAUAGGUCCUUUCAGAACUCUUCCUCAGUGCUGGACAUCAUGUCAGGGUUAACCCACCUGUUUCAUUAAAUAUUAUCAUACUGCAAUUAGGUUUAUGUUGUAAUAAAACUAAUACUUCUUUU